UACGUAGGUGGCAAGCGUUAUCCGGAUUUAUUGGGCGUAAAGGGAACGCAGGCGGUCUUUUAAGUCUGAUGUGAAAGCCUUCGGCUUAACCGGAGUAGUGCAUUGGAAACUGGGAGACUUGAGUGCAGAAGAGGAGAGUGGAACUCCAUGUGUAGCGGUGAAAUGCGUAGAUAUAUGGAAGAACACCAGUGGCGAAAGCGGCUCUCUGGUCUGUAACUGACGCUGAGGUUCGAAAGCGUGGGUAGCAAACAGGA
rnacentral:rRNA from 1 species